rnacentral:rRNA from 1 species
UACAGAGGGGGCAAGCGUUAUUCGGAAUUAUUGGGCGUAAAGGGCGCGUAGGCGGCCUUUCAAGUGACGGGUGAAAUCCCUCGGCUUAACCGAGGAACUGCCUGUCAGACUGGAAGGCUUGAGACCGGGAGAGGUGAGUGGAAUUCCCAGUGUAGCGGUGAAAUGCGCAGAUAUCAGGAGGAACACCGGUGGCGAAGGCGGGUCUCUGGGCCGAUACUGACGCUGAGGAGCGAAAGCGUGGGGAGCGAACAGG